rnacentral:misc_RNA from 1 species
AAGUCGUAACAAGGUUUCCGUAGGUGAACCUGCGGAAGGAUCAUUAAAAGAAUCUGCCUCACUCACAGAUAUCUUAUCACGUGUGAACUGUCUAGCUUGUCACCCGAGAUGGACACCUCAGAGAUCUCGGUCUUUGGGGGGUCUGUCUUGGGGGUCAGCUUAUGCUACUGAUUGUGCCCCGAGAAUCUUUAAAAGACUAUAAAACUUUUAGCAAUGGAUCUCUAGGCUCCU